UACGUAGGGCGCAAGCGUUAUCCGGAAUUAUUGGGCGUAAAGAGCUCGUAGGCGGUUUGUCGCGUCUGCCGUGAAAGUCCGGGGCUCAACUCCGGAUCUGCGGUGGGUACGGGCAGACUAGAGUGAUGUAGGGGAGACUGGAAUUCCUGGUGUAGCGGUGAAAUGCGCAGAUAUCAGGAGGAACACCGAUGGCGAAGGCAGGUCUCUGGGCCGAUACUGACGCUGGAGGAGCGAAAGCGUGGGGAGCGAACAGG
rnacentral:rRNA from 1 species